UAUUUCUGCCAUUACCAUAGU
rnacentral:piRNA from 1 species